rnacentral:sRNA from 1 species
ACAGAACAAAUGUUACAACCACAAUAUCAUAUCACAUAAUCAAGAUAUCAUCACUCUUUUCCAAGGUCAAAACUAUUCCCCGCCUUAAUCCAAUGACUUACUGAGGUUUACCUAGCAAUGUUAUAACAGUAUCGAGAAAAUGCAAAAAUAAGUUUUUAGUAUUUGUAUAUAUAUUACAUAUUCCUAGUCUGUGAGGUACUUAGGGUAUGGUUCAUUAUACAUGUAAGUACAGCUGAGUUUGCAUAUUUACGAAAUUCGAUAUAACAUGCUCAAAAGAUCGAGCAUUGCAUCAUAUGGGAAUGGUAAUCUGAGUAGUUUCUCUUGCUGGCUGCACUGUAGUUUUUCGCUUUAACUUCGUGUAAAGGUGAAAUUGCUCAGAGCAAUAGGGGAUCAAUAUAGUACAACAAUACCACGUAAUGUACGCACACUUCACACCGGACAACAGAUGUAGGGGGACUAAACAAAGUGUGCGUGGCUGAAUAGAGUCGAGCAGAGUCCCGGGCCCCAAGGUCACCUUGGGACUGGGUCUGAAUGUCGUCUGUAUACGGACGGAUCUUCUAUUAGUGUGUAAUAGGAAGAUUUCAUUUUCGACAGACAAUAAAACUUUGGUAUGUACAUCCAUCAUUGAGGGAUGAUGGAUUCCGCGUGUAGGAGUUUUUUGUCUUGUUCAAAAUCCACAUAAAGGUCAAUAAAGCGCGACUGUAAGAUAUCUGUAGAAUGUGAAUGUAAAACAUAAACAUGGAGACAUUGUAACCGAUUUAAUUCACUUCACACAAACUCUGUAUUGCUGUGAUAGCUUGAAAUUUUAAUGUACGUUUAAGUUACAAUAACUUAUACAAGUCGUACUUACUUAGUUAACAAAUCAAUCGAGUUAAAGCGAUGACUAAUUAACGCCGUAUACCACAAGGAAUGCCGUUAAUUAUAUCUUCUAUACGCGCUAAUGAUGCUUAGUUCAAUUGUAGAUGACUGCAGCAGGUGCCCCCUUCACAAAACAGGUGUGUGGACACAGCUAUACGUGAACAACUACUGUCUGCAUUGCAUCCACGUAUUAGUCAGAAGUAAACGAACUAGUACACAGUCAGGGACCUUUUGAUCUCCCAACAAACAGAUCCUGAGUACUUCAACCCCACACACACAUGCUACAUGUACUUACCGUACCACAGUCGGUUCGUCAUUUUUGUGCUGUUAAUUUAGAAACAUAUCCUAGGAUUUCACAAACCACGGGGCUUCUUCAUCCAAAACGCUAAGUCCGCGUGCUCAGACCAGGUGGGAUAUUUAAACUGGGUGUACGCCGAGACAAUAUAUAUGUAUAUAUAUAAAUAUUAAACACUGUUCAGCAUCGUUGCCCACAACCGAACAUAAAUGAUUUGGGCCCCUAGAUGACUUUAUUUGCCACAGUUAUUUAAAAACCUUAUCCGCCUUUUGAUCUUAUUUUAAUAGCCAGAGGAAGCUUGCAAGCACAAAAAAUGGAUGCAGGCAAUUAUGGUUCCUUCUGGUUCAAGAGUUUAUGCAGAGAUUAGUACCUUAUAAGUGUAUAGUACUUAUGAACGACUUGAUGGUGGUACAGUCACGUGACAUUGUAUCUUCUGCAGUCUUCUGCUAAUCACAUCCGGUAUUCAUGGGAAAUUAGGAGAGGAUAAAUAACAUAAAUGUUGAAUUUGAAAUACAAAAAACUUCCGUUACCUUUUCAUUGCUCGAUAUUUUGAAG